rnacentral:lncRNA from 1 species
GCCAACCCAAAAGAUCUAGAAGAUAAGCAACCCAAAGAUCCCAAUCAAUUACUCGUUUGGGGUGGACAUCAAGAUAAACAACCCUUAUUGGUCGUUUCGGGUGGCCAUGAAGAUAAGCAACCCAAGGAUCCCAAUCAAUUACUCGUUUGGGGUAACCGUGAAGCCAACUCAAAAGAUCUAGAAGAUAAGCAACCCAAAGAUCCCAAUCAAUUAUUCGUUUGGGGUGGCCAUCAAGAUAAGCAGUAUAAGGAUCCCAAUCAAUUAUUUGUUUCAGGUGUCCAUGAAGCCAACUCAAAAGAUCUAGAAGAUAAGCAACCCAAAGAUCUCAAUCAAUUACUCGUUUGGGGUGGCCAUCAAGAUAAGCAGUCCAAGGAUCCCAAUCAAUUAUUUGCUUCAGGUGUCCAUGAAGCCAACUCAAAAGAUCUAGAAGAUAAGCAACCCAAAGAUCCCAAUCAAUUACUCGUUUGGGGUGGCCAUCAAGAUAAGCAGUCCAAGGAUCUCAAUCAAUUAUUUGCUUCGGAUGUCCAU